AGACAGAAGACUCAAUCAACAGAAACUUCAAGGAGAACUCACAGCAACACACAGGACUCAAGUGAUGACACAUACACAGCUCUGAACCUUAGGACCCUAUCACCGGAAUAUGACACUCUUGCAAAUGUGAAAGUUUCAGCUGAUGGUGCCAUCUACACCCCUCCAACUUCAGUCCAAACUGAGCCUCCAGACUACGAGAACUAAGGCAAGACUAAGAAUCACCUCAGAGAGAAAGAGAGAGAAAGAAAGAUAGAGAGAGAGGACCCCAGCGCGGGCC